AAGGUUUUAAGUUAAAUAAACUAAUAGCCUUCAAAGCUAUAAAUAUAAUUGAAGUUUUAAGCCUUA
rnacentral:tRNA from 1 species